rnacentral:rRNA from 1 species
AGUGAACGCUGGCGGUAGGCCUAACACAUGCAAGUCGAACGGCAGCACAGUAAGAGCUUGCUCUUACGGGUGGCGAGUGGCGGACGGGUGAGGAAUACAUCGGAAUCUACUUUUUCGUGGGGGAUAACGUAGGGAAACUUACGCUAAUACCGCAUACGACCUACGGGCGAAAGCAGGGGAUCUUCGGACCUUGCGCGAUUGAAUGAGCCGAUGUCGGAUCAGCUCGUUGGCGGGGUAAAGGCCCACCAAGGCGACGACCCGUGGCUGGGCUGCGGGGACGAUCAGCCACACGGGAACUGAGACACGGUCCAGACUCCUGCGGGAGGCAGCAGUGGGGAAUAUUGGACAAUGGGCGCAAGCCUGAUCCAGCCAUACCGCGUGGGUGAAGAAGGCCUUCGGGUUGUAAAGCCCUUUUGUUGGGAAAGAAAAGCAGCAGGUUAAUACCCCGCUGUUCUGACGGUACCCAAAGAAUAAGCACCGGCUAACUUCGUG